GACGAACGCUGGCGGCGUGCCUAAUACAUGCAAGUCGAACGCAGUGGGGACGGGUGAGUAACCCGUGGGUAACCUCCCAUCAGAGGGGAUAACACUUGGAAACAGGUGCUAAACCGAUACAGCUGGAUGGAGCCGCAGCGGAUUACCUAGUUGGCGAGGUAACGGCUCACCAAGGCCACGAUGCAUAGCCGACCUGAGAGGGUGAUCGGCCACACUGGGACUGAGACACGGCCCAGACUCCUACGGGAGGCAGCAGUAGGGAAUCUUCGGCAAUGGACGAAAGUCUGACCGAGCCACGCCGCGUGAGUGAAGAAGGUUUUCGGAUCGUAAAACUCUGUUGUUAGAGAAGCGGUAUCUAACCAGAAAGCCACGGCUAACUACGUGCCAGCAGCCGCGGUAAUUC
rnacentral:rRNA from 1 species